rfam:Ictidomys tridecemlineatus contig061009, whole genome shotgun sequence.
GGGGUUGUGGCUCAGUGGCAGAGCACUUGCCUCGAACAUAUGAGGCACUGGGUUCAAUCCUCAGCACCA